UACAGCGCAGCAGGAAAUGACCAUGUACAAAACAAUGUUUUUUUUGAAAGCUGCAAAGAAUAGAAUGAGGGAAGCGAUGAAAGAGAGGUGGAAGGCGGGAGUUCGAUGAAGUGUAACAGAACCUCCGAUUACAACAAUGUCAGUGGAUCUCGAUCUUGUCUACAAGAAGUUGAAUGUGUCACCAGGACAACACACUUUAGUACUUGCAGCAUUGAAAGACAAUCAGCAUACAAAGCGUAGACAGUACCAAAGUACAGUGGAAGCCAAACAGUUGAGGAGGCAAAAUAAAGAUAAAAGGACAAAAUCACUAGCAAUGUUUGGAGGUACGAGAGGGACCAACCUACCAAUCAGGCAUUGAUUUAGAAGAAAAUGUUGAUAUGGAAGCUAUUCCCGCUCCGAUGUAUCAGCCAUGUCCUGAAGAUGACCCAAUUAUGGCUGACGAUUCAAUCUGUAGGGUUGUCUUUGACCUUGAAACAACUGGUCUGGAGAGAGAUUCACAUAUAACAGAACUUGCGGCUGAAACUGUAUAUUCCACAAACAACAGUACAGAUACCUUUCAUCGUUUCAUUAUUUCCAAGAAACCUAUUUCUAACCAGGCUUCCAAGAUACAACUGGCAUAACAGUAAAAGGCAGACAGUUGUUUAAAAAUGCGGCUCUCGUCAACAAUUCUGUUUCUGUAUCAAGAGCCUUAACUUCAUUCCUUGAUUUUUUUAAACAAAAACAAAAGAUUAUUCUUGUUGGUCACAAUAUAAAAACAUUUGAUAGCCUUGUUCUUGUUAAUACUCUGGAAAAUGUUAACAUGAUGGAAGAUUUUCGAAAUAUAGUCAUUGGAUUUGAGGACACACGGAAACUGUUCAUGAUUAAUAAUCCAGAGCUGAAAAGCUACUUGCAGGAAAAUUUAGUUGGCCAGCUGCUUGGCCAAGAAUAUCAAGCACACAGUGCAUCUGAGGAUGUGAAAGCGUUGAAGGCUUUGUAUACAACUGAAGAUGUUGGGAAACAUGUACAUGCAAAAUGUCUAUUUUCUGUUGCAUAUUUUAUCCUCGGCCUUAAUUAUUCACAAAGAGUCCGGAGAAAUUUACCCUCACUUCAAAGAAUGAUUGACAUGAAAGUGUUAACACAAUCUAUGGCAAGAAGAGUUACCGGAAGUGGAUUGGUUUUUAGCUCACCUGAGCCAAAGGCUCAUGGUGAGCUAUUGUGACCGCUCAAUGUCCGGCGUCCGUCAUGCGUCGUCCGUCCGUCAACAUUUCCUAAAAAAAUCUUCUUCUUGAAAACCACUGGGCAGAAUUACACCAACCUUCACAGGAAUGAUCCUUGGGAAGCCCCCUUUCAAAAUUGUUCAAAGAAUUGAAUUCCAUGCAGAACUCUGCUUGCCAUGGCAACCGGAAGGAAAAACUUUAAAAAUCUUCUUCUCAAAAACCAGAAGCCCUAGAGCUUAGAUAUUUAGUGUGAAGCAUUGCCUAGUAGAUCUCUACCAAUUUUGUUCAAAUCAUGACCCUGGGGUCAAAAUUGACCCCGUCCCAGGGGUCACUUGAUUUUACAUAGGAAAAUCUUAAAAAAUCUUCUUCUCCAAAACCAGAAGUCCUAGAGCUUAGAUAUUUGACAUGUAGCAUUGCCUAGUGGACCUCUACUAAAAUUGUUCAAAUCAUGACCCCGGGAUCAAAAUUGACCCCGCCCCAGGGGUCACUUGAUUUUACAUAGAAAAGUCUUCAAAAAUUUUCUUAAAAUAAACCAGAAGGCCUAGAGCUUAGAUAUUUCACAUGCUAGUGGACCUCUACAAAAUUUGUUCAAAUCAUGACCCCCGGGGUCAAAAUUGACUCCGCUCCAGGGGUCAUUUGAUUUUACAUAGGAAAAUCUUCAAAAAUUUUCUAAAAAUAAACCAGAAGGCCUAGAGCUUAGAUAUUUCACAUGUAGCAUGGCCUAGUAGACCUCUACAAAAUUUGUUCAAAUCAUGACCCCCGGGGUCAAAAUUGACCACGCCCCAGGGGUCACUUGAUUUUACAUAGGAAAAUCUUAAGAAAUCUUCUUCUCAAAAACCAGAAGCCCUAGAGCUUAGAUAUUUGACAUGUAGCAUUGCCUAGUGGACCUCUACUAAAAUUGUUCAAAUCAUGACCCCAGGAUGAAAAUUGACCCCGCCCCAGGGGUCACUUGAUUUUACAUAGGAAAAUCUUCAAAAAUUUUCUAAAAAUAAACCAGAAGGCCUAGAGCUUAGAUAUUUCACUUGUAGCAUUGCCUAGUGGACCUCUACAAACUUUGUUCAAAUCAUGUCCCCCGGGGUCAAAAUUGACCCUGCCCCAGGGGUCACUUGAUUUUACAUAGAAAAAUCUUAAAUUUUUUUCUAAAAA